UGGGGAAUAUUGGACAAUGGGGGAAACCCUGAUCCAGCGACGCCGCGUGUGUGAAGAAGGCCUGCGGGUUGUAAAGCACUUUCGGUGGGAACGAAAUAUGCCGGGCUAAUACCCCGGUAGGCUGACGUUACUCAAUGAAGAAGCACCGGUUAACUCUGUGCCAGCAGCCGCGGUAAUACAGAGGGUGCGAGCGUUAAUCGGAAUUACUGGGCGUAAAGCGCACGUAGGUGGCGACGUAAGUCGGGUGUGAAAGCCCCGGGCUCAACCUGGGAACCGCAUUCGAGACUGUGUUGCUAGAGUGUAGCAGAGGGGGGUGGAAUUCCACGUGUAGCAGUGAAAUGCGUAGAGAUGUGGAGGAACACCGAUGGCGAAGGCAGCCCCCUGGGUUAACACUGACGCUCAUGCACGAAAGCGUGGGGAGCGAAACAGGAUUAGAUACCCUAGUAGUCCCUGAGCGGGCUGGCAAGGCG
rnacentral:rRNA from 1 species